rnacentral:rRNA from 1 species
GAUGAACGCUGGCGGCGUGCUUAACACAUGCAAGUCGAACGAAGCACUUUAGUUGAUUUCUUCGGAUUGAUUCUAAAGUGACUUAGUGGCGGACGGGUGAGUAACGCGUGGGUAACCUGCCUCGUACAGGGGGAUAACAGUUAGAAAUGACUGCUAAUACCGCAUAACCCGCUAAGGUCGCAUGACCUAGACGGAAAAGAUUUAUCGGUACGAGAUGGACCCGCGUCUGAUUAGCUUGUUGGCGGGGUAACGGCCCACCAAGGCGACGAUCAGUAGCCGGUCUGAGAGGAUGAACGGCCACAUUGGGACUGAGAUACGGCCCAGACUCCUACGGGAGGCAGCAGUGGGGAAUAUUGGGCAAUGGGGGAAACCCUGACCCAGCAACGCCGCGUGAAGGAAGAAGGCCUUCGGGUUGUAAACUUCUUUUAGCAGGGACGAAGGACGUGACGGUACCUGCAGAAAAAGCAACGGCUAACUACGUG